UACGUAGGGGGCAAGCGUUGUCCGGAUUCAUUGGCGUAAAGAGCGUGUAGGCGGCCAGGUAGGUCGGUUGUGAAAACUGGAGGCUCAACCUUCAGAGGUCGAUCGAAACCAUCUGGCUAGAGUCCGGGAGAGGAGAGUGGAAUUCCUGGUGUAGCGGUGAAAUGCGCAGAUAUCAGGAAGAACACCCGUGGCGAAAGCGGCUCUCUGGAACGGUACUGACGCUGAGACGCGAAAGCCGUGGGGAGCGAACAGG
rnacentral:rRNA from 1 species